rnacentral:lncRNA from 1 species
AAACAGGAGUAAAAUGUGGCACAGCUGCUCCAUAAUCUGUAAAAUUUGGUGCAGCUGCCUGCUUGCAAGUGUAGUCAAUGAAAAAGUGGGUGCUGGGUGACAUGAGCUUACCCACCUAGAGAUCUAUGUGUGUACAGGAUAGGCUGCUCUGAAGUGAGACUAUGCCAACAGUCCUAGGCUGGGUGUUAACACCCCAAAGGGAGGUGAACUCACAGCAUGCCCUGGGUGCCUGCAUGGGAAAUGCCUUUAAAUCACUUCUUUUUCUUUCCCUGGAGUGAACUGGAGGUGUGAGAGGCACUGAACCUACAUGCAUUCUCCUGUGCCCAGGCCCUGACUCCUCAGCAGGCAUAAGGGGUGAGCCCAGCUCUCUACAGCAGCCCCAUGCAGGAUGCUGGGAGAGAAGUGGCCAUCAAAUGGCUCUUGGAGAGCACCUGGAGCUCAAAGAGGUGGAAGAUCAUCUGUGCUCACUCUUAGGUGUGUGAAAGAGCUUCAGACGUAGCAGGAUGCAGUCUUGGUGUUCCCCCAGAUCUCAGUCUUUGUUGUGUGAUGUGGCCUUCUUGGAUCUCCAGAUGUCAUUUGGAGCUGCUUCUUGGAUUCAUCAGCACAGGUUUGGGGGCUGGUCCUCUGUGUGCAUGAAAUGUGAAGUGUGCCUGCAGCCCAACCACCUCCUCUACAAGUGCAGAUGGAUUGGUUCUUUGGCCAUUCGCCUUACCUCCAAGAAAACAUGGAAGAAAUAUGCCUUUGAGAGCAAUCUGACUAAAUGACUUCCCUGGGGUCCCACAAGUACUCCAGGGCAGAAGCUGAACUGAACUCAGAGCUCCCAAGCAUUAGUAGGGCCUAAACCACAGAACGAUCUUUGUCUCAUUAUGUUAACAUGAUCUCAGUUAAAUGCUGCCUGACUUAAGUCUGUGAAGAUAAAAGCAAUGCUCUAGCUCAAAAAUGGAAUAAAAUGCUGGAAUCACUUCA